rnacentral:rRNA from 1 species
GACGAACGCUGGCGGCAGGCCUAACACAUGCAAGUCGAACGAGUGGCGGACGGGUGAGUAAUGUCUGGGAAACUGCCCGAUGGAGGGGGAUAACUACUGGAAACGGUAGCUAAUACCGCAUCCCAUCGGAUGUGCCCAGAUGGGCUUAGCUAGUAGGUGGGGUAACGGCUGACCUAGGCGACGAUCCGUAGCUGGUCUGAGAGGAUGACCAGCUACACUGUAACUGAGACACUGUCCAGACUCCAACGGGAGGCAGCAGAGGGGAAUAUUGCAUAAUGGGCGCAAGCCUGAUGCAGCCAUGCCGCGUGUAUGAAGAAGGCCUUCGGGUUGAAAAGUACUUUCAGCGAGGAGGCGUUACUCGCAGCAGAAGCACCGACUAACUCCGUGCCAGCAGCCGCGGUAAUAC